UAACAAAGAAGAAGCAAAGCCGCGAGGUAGAGCAAAUCUACAAAAAAACAAUCUCAGUUCAGACUGCAGGCUGCAACUCGCCUGCACGAAGUCGGAAUUGCUAGUAAUCGUAGGUCAGCAUACUACGGUGAAUACGUUCCCGGGCCUUGUACACACCGCCCGUCAAACCAUGAGAGUUGGCAACACCCGAAGUCGGUAGUCUAACCGCAAGGAGGACGCCGCCGAAGGUGGGGUUGAUGAUUAGGGUUAAGUCGUAACAAGGUAAC
rnacentral:rRNA from 1 species